GAUGAACGCUGGCGGCGUGCCUAAUACAUGCAAGUCGAGCGAACAGACGAGGAGCUUGCUCCUUUGACGUUAGCGGCGGACGGGUGAGUAACACGUGGGUAACCUACCUAUAAGACUGGGAUAACUUCGGGAAACCGGAGCUAAUACCGGAUAAUAUUUCGAACCGCAUGGUUCGAUAGUGAAAGAUGGCUUUGCUAUCACUUAUAGAUGGACCUGCGCCGUAUUAGCUAGUUGGUAAGGUAACGGCUUACCAAGGCAACGAUACGUAGCCGGCCUGAGAGGGUGAUAGGCCACACUGGAACUGAGCCACGGUCCAGACUCCUACGGGAGGCAGCAGUAGGGAAUCUUCCGCAAUGGGCGAAAGCCUGACGGAGCAACGCCGCGUGAGUGAUGAAGGUCUUCGGAUCGUAAAACUCUGUUAUUAGGGAAGAACAAACGUGUAAGUAACUGUGCACGUCUUGACGGUACCUAAUCAGAAAGCCACGGCUAACUACGUG
rnacentral:rRNA from 1 species